UACGAAGGGGGCUAGCGUUGUUCGGAAUUACUGGGCGUAAAGCGCACGUAGGCGGAUUUGCAAGUCAGGGGUGAAAUCCCGGGGCUCAACCUCGGAACUGCCUUUGAUACUGCAAGUCUCGAGUCCGAUAGAGGUGAGUGGAAUUCCUAGUGUAGAGGUGAAAUUCGUAGAUAUUAGGAAGAACACCAGUGGCGAAGGCGGCUCACUGGAUCGGUACUGACGCUGAGGUGCGAAAGCGUGGGGAGCAAACAGG
rnacentral:rRNA from 1 species